UAUCUCUGUAGAGUCUGCAUAUCAAUAAGCGGAGGAAAAGAAACUAACAAGGAUUCCCUUAGUAACGGCGAGUGAAGCGGGAAGAGCUCAAAUUUGAAAUCUUCAAGGUUUUACCUUGACGAAUUGUAGUUUAAAGAAGUGUUUUCUGUUGAAGUUUCGGUAAAAGUUCUUUGGAAUAGGACAUCAUAGAGGGUGAGAAUCCCGUAUUUGACCAUUUCUUCCAGCUGUGUGAUACACUUUCAAAGAGUCGGAUUGUUUGGGAAUGCAGUCCAAAAUGGGUGGUAAAUUUCAUCUAAAGCUAAAUAUUGGCGAGAGACCGAUAGCGAACAAGUACCGUGAGGGAAAGAUGAAAAGAACUUUGAAAAGAGAGUUAAACAGUACGUGAAAUUGUCAAAAGGGAAGCGUUUGACACCAGUGUUGUUUUCUCGAAAAUCAAUUAAAAAUGACCGGAUUUUGUGUUGUAUUGACUUUAUCAGCUUUCUGCACUUUUUUCUUGUCUUUUUUAAUGCACUUUUCGUUUAACAAGUCAACAUCAAUUUCUUUUGUUGUAAAAGGGUCAUUGGAAGGUGGCUUUCACUUCGGUGAAAGUGUUUAUAGCCUUUGACUUCUGCAAUCGGAGAGAUUGAGGUCUGCAGCGUAGAUCCUUCGGGGUUAGAUACAUUUGUGCUAUGUUAUAGUUUUUCAUAGACAACAUGUUGACUAUGAUUAAUCAUGUAGCUUACUCGCUUAUGCUAUUUUACCUACGCUUAGGAUGUUGAACGCGCACAGAGUCUC
rnacentral:rRNA from 1 species